GCGCCCGUAGCUCAGCUGGAUAGAGCGUUUCCCUCCGGAGGAAGAGGCCGGGGGUUCAAAUCCCUCCGGGCGCACCA
rnacentral:tRNA from 1 species